rnacentral:ncRNA from 2 species
AUGUUAACAUUACAUCUCUCUUGUAUAAGCUCGAUAAUUUGGAUUGAGCGUAUCUACAGGCAACCGUAAAUUGCCCCAGGCUACAAGAGGCAACGCAAGACCG